UUUCAGACAGCUUUGUUUUGCCAGCUGUAUUUUCAAGCAGCCAAGGACAACAACAACAGACAGAGUAAACUUUGUUUUGGCACCCAACCCACAAUCUGAUGAGAUAAACUUGUGUUUUUCUAAGUUUUCAUACUUACAUUCAUUGCAAUAACAAGCUAUUCUUCCACUGAAAAUAGCCUGAACUAAGGAUAUUUUGCUCUGGAAAACAAAUACAUUCUUUCUUGUGUCACAUACAGCCACUACAGGAAGAUUUGAUGCAGGAGAAAUGGGUGAUAUACAGCCAGGCAAUCUUUGUAAGAAGAAGAAGGUCACUGGAUUGCCAGUAAAGCUGUUUGAAAACAAAGAAAAAGGAAAGCAUCAAGUGUAGGAAUACCAGAAUGCCUACACUGUUGUUAGCUCUAAGGUUUUCCUCUCAGAAACAAAGAAGGCAAGCCUUUCAACUCUGUCCUCUUCAAUGGCUACUCUUGUCUCCAGACUCCACAGAUCACUUGGAAAAGAAUAAUCAGAACAAUAAGAAAGCAUACCUAAAGUAUCAGAAUGUAAAAGAGUUUUUGAUACUGAUGCUCCUUUAAAAUUAUCUCAGGAAAAGAAGAAGAAAAAAAAAAUGGUUAGUAUAAGAGAAUUAGUCAGAUAAUCACAGAAUUGCUGGGGUUGUAUGGGACCUCAAGACUCAUCAAGCUUCAACUCCCCUGCCACAUGCAGGGCCACCAACCUCCAUAUGUAAUACUAGGCCAGGCUGCCCAAGGCCCUAUCCAACCUGGCCUUGAAAACCUCAAGGGAUGGGGUAUCAAACUGUUACAGAAUUUUCUGCAGAAAGUAGUACUAAUCCCUCAAUUCAUAUCAUGCUAACCUGGGCUUUUUUUAAAGCACACAACUUAGCGUAAGUCAGACUGUUUUAAACCUCCAUCUGCAGUCACCAUUGUGCUACUCCCAACCAGUAAUUCCUGAAAGUCAUUUAUUCUCUUUCAGCUCUCAUAUACCUGUGUAAUAUACAAGACUUCAAUCCAAGUCCUACCACCCAAACAACAAACGACUUUUUAACAGUAGUUAUAUUAGAAUAUUUGUUGGAAGUGUCAGCACGAUAAAACUUGCUUUCAUUUCCCUAAGGAAAACACAGUCACCAUUUUUCUUCCCUCCCCCCCCUUCCCAGAAUUGUCCAAAUCUGUAGUCCCAUAUUUUGUGAAACAGAGGGAAACAAUACCAUUGUUCUAGAAAUUAUUCAGUCUUCACUUGCAGUAAAUUUAAUUUUUUUCCAAAAAGAGUACAUGCACUGCAAUAAAUAACUAAAUAUCUCCACAUAAAUAUGUGAACAGAAAAUGAGGACUUAGUAUGUUUUCUUUCCAGAGAUCUUGCUUUUGUUUUACAAAGAACAAACAUGAAAGGCAGGCUCCUUCUGUAAGUAUGAUGCAACAAGAUAUCGUACUGCUGGCCAUCUCUGCUUUGUUUUUAUGUCCUGCAGAGAGUGACAUCUGUGUGCAAAUUAACAACAGAUUUGUGUAAGCUAGCUGUGAAUGAAAUAUUUGGGGAAAAAAAAACCCAGAAACUUAUCUAUAAAAUAAUUAAUGUAACAAGUAAUUUAAUUCAAUUUUGAAACACUCACAUUACCUAGAUGAUGUAUACAUUGCUAGCAAAUCAAAGUAUUAAUCACUACUAAAUCAAAGUGAUAGGUUGGACUAGAAUGGGUGACGGGUGACUCCUAGAUGUUUAAUACUCAGGGUUUUAAUGGCUACAUCAAGUAGUGCAGGACAGAACAAGUGUGUCUUUAGAGCAGAACAACUGGUGCUGAGGACCUAUGUACACAGAAAUGAUUUGGUGGGGUUUUAUUUUGGGCUAAUCUGAUCCACAUGGUGAAAACAAAUUAAUAGCUGGAGCUCAUUAUGUGGCUCCUAGACCACAUCUUCUAAGCUAGUUUCAUUC